AAGGAUUUUAGUCCUACCUUAAGUUCUUCCUUUAUUAAUAAAACAACUCUGAACUUAAGAGCUAUUCAAACAAGGUACAGCCUGUUUGAAACAGGGAACAACCUCAAAAAUAGGGUAACUCCAAAUGACAGGUGUCCAAGUGGGCCUAAAAGCAGCCAACUUUAAAAAAGCGUUACAGCUUCCUCACCAGUCACUUUAAUACCAAAAACACUACAUAACCCUUACCCAGUACUAAAUAACUCUAUACCCCUAUAGAAAUUAUUAUGCUAAAACUAGUAACAUGAAGAAGCCCUUCUCCUAAAUGUACAUGUACGCCAAAAAGAACAAUUCAUUGGCAUUUAACGCUACUGACCCUAAAGCAACAACUAUACAAGAGAAUCUUGCUAACACCAACGUUAACCUAACACAAGAACAUUUCAGGAAAGAUUAAAAGAGGUGGAAGGAACUCGGCAAAUUUUAACCCCGCCUGUUUACCAAAAACAUCGCCUCCUGCAACAUAUAGGAGGUCCAGCCUGCCCAGUGACCAAGUUAAACGGCCGCGGUACCCUAACCGUGGCGG
rnacentral:rRNA from 1 species